UUUUUACUCAUUCAAGUUCCCUCUAUCACAUAUGAAAGUCCCAAGAGAUCAAAGUGGUGGAAAGUAUUGAAAAAUACUGAAAUUGGUGAUGCCAAUUUCCCAUUGCAGCCCAUGUGAAGGGGAGACACUCCAGGUGAAAAGGGAAAAUAUUUUAACUAACAGAUAUCACCGUGAAACCUCCCAGGUUGAUUUCU